rnacentral:lncRNA from 1 species
AUUGAUUCAUUGGAAAUAUGGAAGGAAAAACAUAGGAAUACUAAAUUAUCUUUUGGUGACAGAUUUUCCUUUUGUUUUAGAUUUUUAUUUGUGGCACUAAAUUAUCUUUUGUUUUUCUGUUAAUUGUGGUCGUUGGCAGAUGGAUAAAAAAAACUCUGUAAGGCUCAUUGAAGCCAUCGAGCAAUUGAACCCAGAGGCCACUGUAAAGCUCACUCAAGCUAUUGAGAAAUUGAUCCAGGAGCUCAAGGAAAAGUCACCUUUCGAUGCGCUAUCUGAGCGUAAGAAGGUACUAACUGAAUUUGUGAAAAAAAAUUAUAUUCAUGUGAUAUUAAAGUGUGGUAUUUGGAUCUAUUGCAGUCAUUCAUUGAAGCUUCAAAAGCGUUUACGCUGUUUGCCGGCGCCGGUUUAAAUGCGAUGAAUGCGUUCGCUAUCACUUUGGCUUACAUGUCAAUGCAUUCGAUGAAUGUCAACGCAGAUGCUGCUAACACUACUUCAACAGCCGCUCCUCCUACUGAGAGUGCUACUUCUCCUCCCAAUAUGAUUCAAUCUUUUCUUAUCUUGGGAACAAUGUUUUGUUUCCUUUUCACAAGCUGCGCUACAGCAGUGGCUCAUGCCACUGUACAUCGCACAAAGUGGUUCUCCAUGCUCGUGGUGAUUAUGAUCCUGGAAGUCAUUCUCUUGAAUGUCACAUGCGCGCUUUAUUGCUACCUACUUACGGAGGGGGUCUUCUGCAUCAUUGCUGCUGCUCUAUUGUUUUUCUCGUUGGUUUUCAUGCUUGGGUUUAUUACUAUCGGCUUCGUAAGUAAAUUUUCCCCAUGCUUCAUUUUUGUACUCCAUUAUUGAAUUUUUGUUUGACAACGAAAAUGAUCUUUCAGCAUGGUUGAACCUGGAUGGAAUGGUGAAGCGUUGAUUGAAGAUAAACCUGGACGGAAUGAUCUUUUGUCAUGAUUUGUUGGAAAGAGGCUCGCAAUGCUACUGGAAGUCAAGUCUCUUAGAAACUCUUUAUGUUGGUGUAGUCUUUCAGCAUGGUUGAACCUGGAUGGAAUUGUUUAAGUGCUGCUUGAAGAUAAACCUGGAUGGAAUGAUCUUUUGUCAUGAUCUGUUGGAAAGAGGGUCGCAAUGCUAUUGGAAGUCAAGUCUCUUAGAAACUCUGUAUGGUAGUGUAGUAGUUAAACAAUGUAAACUGGGCUAGUUUUAUCGGAAGUCUAGUCUUUUUUGUAGCAAAACUUUACAUGCCAGGCACGCCCCUUGUGUCGUCCUUGCGACUCGUAUCGCUACUGUUUCAAAGCCACUGGAAGUUUCAUCCUUGAUUAGCAUUAAAUGAAGGAUUGUUCGGAUAGCAAAAACUACUAGUGCCAGGUUUAUAUAAACUUUUAAUGACCUGUUUAUAAAAUUAUGUUUGGGUUAAUUUAGUUUUCCUAUUUCAG